rnacentral:lncRNA from 1 species
GCCACAGCUAACCAGUUGCCCCUGAAAUUCAACAGAUUUACACACACACUCGCAACUUUUUAGCUAUGCUACCCACACAUUUACAAAUUUAUUUUUCCGACUGUCAAAACAAAAUUCUGAGUGAGAGAACCGGACCUAAUAAAAAUUUUUACUGUAAUAAGAAUUUUAUGCGUUAGAGCGAGUAAGUGGAAAUGAAGCAAAAUUUGACAGCUUUGAUCACAGAGGCUGUGACUUUAGCAAAAGUUUGACAUCUUUGAUCACAGUAGGCUGUAAAUAAAAGCGUUAAUUUUGCAAAAACAUUUGAAGAUUGCCGAAACACUGCGAUUUAAUCAUAUAAUUAAGAUUUGCGAUUUUUCAUUCUAAAUUUAUCUUCGACCCUGCUACCACGGAACAUCAACGCCACCUCCAGUCAGGCACCACACCAGCAUAUCCACCACCUUCAACGCCGCCACCAAUAAACAGCGCUGCAUACAUUAUUCGGUAAGUUUUCAUGCGACGAAUAAACGUUGCUUCUGCUGCAACUGCCUACAUUAAUCAUGUUCCUGGUGCUUCCCGAUUUGCACAUUUCACAAGAAAAGCUGUUUUUGCAAUUAAUAAACCUUAUGGCGUACAGAAACAGCUUCCUAUAAAAACCUGCGAAGCGUGAAGUACCUGGAACAGGCUUAUUUAGUGCGUUCCAGAACGUCUACGAUUUGCAGGAUUUAGUCCAAAUUCGUUCCCGUACACAUAAGGCUUAUUAAAGGCAAAAACAGCUGUUCCGGUAAAACCUGCAAAUCUUGCAAAUCGUGAAGUACGGGAACCGGCUAAUUAUGUGCAAAUGUAAACAACAAAAGAAAGUGCAGUGCUACAUAUGUAAAAAAGUGUAGUAGGACUGGUGAAUGCGGUCAUUCUGGAAGCCAUAGUUUACAAAGUGUAGUGCACAGUUCAACAACAGUGAUUGGGUUUGCUACUUCAUAGCAGCAGAGGAAAUGGAAACAUUGCUCUGCUAUUGCUACUUCUCUACUUGAAUGGAUAAGAAGCACGGCCAGAAUCGGAAAACACACGAGGACCUUUCUUGUUUUACUUGGUUCUAUGUUUCGUUGAGGCACAGAUCAGGUAGGAGAACUAAAAUAUGAACGAAGUGAUAUUUGUAGUCAGAGUAAUAGCACAUACAACAAUAU